rnacentral:rRNA from 1 species
ACGUACACUCCUACGUGAGGCAGCAGUGGGGAAUAUUGGACAAUGGGCGCAAGCCUGAUCCAGCCAUGCCGCGUGAGUGAUGAAGGCCCUAGGGUUGUAAAGCUCUUUCACCGGUGAAGAUAAUGACGGUAACCGGAGAAGAAGCCCCGGCUAACUUCGUGCCAGCAGCCGCGGUAAUACGAAGGGGGCUAGCGUUGUUCGGAUUUACUGGGCGUAAAGCGCACGUAGGCGGACUAUUAAGUCAGGGGUGAAAUCCCGGGGCUCAACCCCGGAACUGCCUUUGAUACUGGUAGUCUUGAGUUCGAGAGAGGUGAGUGGAAUUCCGAGUGUAGAGGUGAAAUUCGUAGAUAUUCGGAGGAACACCAGUGGCGAAGGCGGCUCACUGGCUCGAUACUGACGCUGAGGUGCGAAAGCGUGGGGAGCAAACAGGAUUAGAUACCCUAGUAGUCCCAUG